AAGUGAGCAGUGCCUUUCUACAAGGAGACACCACAGCAGGAGAUGGUGACUUGAGCAGACAAAAAACAUGGAGAAAAGUGCAGGAGACUCAGCUUGGAAGCAAGAGGGCUACUAGCACUUUCUAAGUCCUUCUCACCAUUUGUCUUCCUGACAAGUUACUUUUUGCUCCUCUUCCCCCAGGAGGCACCCAGCAGAUGUCAGCCAUUUAAGACAAAAAAGGCAGUCUUUCCUAUCGAGGAACUGGACCCUGCUUUAGAGAAACUGGGAGAGCAAUUCUUUGCAGGGAGAAGCGUCUCAGAGGUGUGGAGAAUAUGAACCAUGGCUCCAAC
rnacentral:lncRNA from 1 species